rnacentral:rRNA from 1 species
GACGAACGCUGGCGGCAUGCCUAAUACAUGCAAGUCGAGCGGAGUUAUGAUGGAGCUUGCUCCUGAUUAACUUAGCGGCGGACGGGUGAGUAACACGUAGGCAACCUGCCCUCAAGACUGGGAUAACUACCGGAAACGGUAGCUAAUACCGGAUAAUUUCUUUCCUCUCCUGAAGAGAGAAUGAAAGGCGGAGCAAUCUGCUACUUGGGGAUGGGCCUGCGGCGCAUUAGCUAGUUGGUGAGGUAACGGCUCACCAAGGCGACGAUGCGUAGCCGACCUGAGAGGGUGAACGGCCACACUGGGACUGAGACACGGCCCAG